GUCAAUUCUAUUAUUCUAUGCCUAAAUUUGUCAUAUGGUUAAAGGAUCAAAAUCAUCUCCAAGAAAUUUGUUAUCAAACCUCUUCUUUUGGGAAGAAAAAGAAAAUACAAACAGUAUAAUCCGUUUAAAAAAUAAUUUGAUGAGUGCAGGUGAAAUGGAAAAUAUUUUUAUUACAGGCAAUUUGCCGAAAUUAGAUUAGCAACCUCUUUAAACACUUAAUCUAUUUACUGUUCACUCCAAAGCUCUAUUAAUAACUUAGAAAUUGAAAGGCAAGUAGUGUACAUUUUUGCAUGUCAUUUUAAAGGCUAGCAAGCAAGACUCAGCAUGGGUAAAUACAAUAAUU
rnacentral:misc_RNA from 1 species